CCUACGGGUGGCAGCAGUCGAGAAUCAUUCACAAUGGGGGAAACCCUGAUGGUGCGACGCCGCGUGAGGGAAUGAAGGUCUUCGGAUUGUAAACCCCUGUCAUGUGGGAGCAAAUUAUAAAGAUAGUACUACAAGUGGAAGAGACGGCUAACUCUGUGCAAGCAGCCGCGGUAAUACAGAGGUCUCAAGCGUUGUUCGGAGUCACUGGGCGUAAUGCGUGCGUAGGCUGUUUCGUAAGUCGUGUGUGAAAGGCGGGGGCUCAACCCGCGGACGGCAGAUGAUACUGCGAGACUAGAGUGAGGGAGGGGGAGGCGGAAUUCUCGGUGUAGCAGUGAAAUGCGGAGAUAUCGAGAGGAACACUCGUGGCGAAGGCGGGUUCCUGGACAUUAACUGACGCUGAGGCACGAAGGCCAGGGGAGCGAAAGGGAUUAGAUACCCGAGUAGUC
rnacentral:rRNA from 1 species